rfam:Equus caballus chromosome 20, whole genome shotgun sequence.
CCAAAGGCUCUUUUCAGAGCCACUUAAAUUGUCAUUUAAAGAGUUU